CCCUUAGAUGUUCUGGGCCGCACGCGCGCUACACUGACGAAUGCAACGAGCUUAUAACCUUGGCCGAAAGGUCUGGGUAAUCUCCAAAUUUCGUCGUGAUGGGGAUAGAUUAUUGCAAUUAUUAAUCUUCAACGAGGAAUGCCUAGUAAGCGCAAGUCAUCAGCUUGCGUUGAUUACGUCCCUGCCCUUUGUACACACCGCCCGUCGCUCCUACCGAUUGAAUGGUCCGGUGAAGCGUUCGGACCGUGGCCUUUGGACGGUUCUCCGUCUGUUGGCUGCGGGAAGUUCGUUAAACCUUAUCAUUUAGAGGAAGGAGAAGUCGUAACA
rnacentral:rRNA from 1 species